AACAGCUCAAAUUUGAAAUCUGACCCCCUCGGGGCCCGAGUUGUAAUUUGUAGAGGGUGUUUCGGGCGCGGCGCCGGUCUAAGUUCCUUGGAACAGGACGUCACAGAGGGUGAGAAUCCCGUAUGUGACCGGCGAUCAAGCCCAUGUGAAGCCCCUUCGACGAGUCGAGUUGUUUGGGAAUGCAGCUCAAAAUGGGUGGUAAAUUUCAUCUAAAGCUAAAUACUGGCCAGAGACCGAUAGCGGACAAGUAGAGUGAUCGAAAGAUGAAAAGCACUUUGGAAAGAGAGUCAAACAGUACGUGAAAUUGUUGAAAGGGAAGCGCUUGCAAUCAGACCGGUCCGGGGGUGAUCAGCCGCUGCUCGUCAGCGGUGCACUCGCCCUCGAUCCGGCCAGCAUCGGUUUGGGCGGCGGGAAAAAAGUCCCGGGAAUGUAGCUUCUCUCGGGGAGUCUUAUAGCCCGGGUCGGCAUGCCGCCCGCCUGGACCGAGGACCGCGCUUCGGCUAGGAUGCUGGCGUAAUGGUUGCAAGCGACCCGUCUUGAAACACGGACCAAGGAGUCUAACAUCUAUGCGAGUGUUUGGGUGUCAAACCCGGGCGCGGAAUGAAAGUGAACGGAGGUGGGAACCCGUCAGACGGCGCACCAUCGACCGAUCCAGAUGUCUUCGGAUGGAUUUGAGUACGAGCAUAGCUGUUGGGACCCGAAAGAUGGUGAACUAUGCCCGGAUAGGGUGAAGCCAGAGGAAACUCUGGUGGAGGCUCGCAGCGGUUCUGACGUGCAAAUCGAUCGUCAAAUCUAGGCAUAGGGGCGAAAGACCAAUCGAACCAUCUAG
rnacentral:rRNA from 1 species